GUAUACAAUCUGCCUCUUACUGAGGGAUAGCCCAGAGAAAUUUGGAUUAAUACCUCAUGGUAUGUAGAAGUGGCAUCACUUUCACAUUAAAGGUUACGGUAAGAGAUGAGUAUGCGUCCUAUUAGCUAGUAGGUAUGGUAACGGCAUACCUAGGCGACGAUAGGUAGGGGCCCUGAGAGGGGGAUCCCCCACACUGGUACUGAGACACGGACCAGACUCCUACGGGAGGCAGCAGUGAGGAAUAUUGGGCAAUGGAGGCAAUUCUGACCCAGCCAUGCCGCGUGCAGGAAGACUGCCCUAUGGGUUGUAAACUGCUUUUAUACGGGAAGAAACAGUCCUACGUGUAGGACCUUGACGGUACCGUAAGAAUAAGCAUCGGCUAACUCCGUGCCAGCAGCCGCGGUAAUACGGAGGAUGCAAGCGUUAUCCGGAAUCAUUGGGUUUAAAGGGUCCGUAGUGGAUUAAUAAGUCAGAGGUGAAAUCCUGCAGCUCAACUGUAGAACUGCCUUUGAUACUGUUAAUCUUGAGUCAUUAUGAAGUAGUUAGAAUGUGUAGUGUAGCGGUGAAAUGCAUAGAUAUUACACAGAAUACCGAUUGCGAAGCAGAUUACUAAUAAUGUACUGACACUGAGGGACGAAAGCGUGGGGAGCGAACAGGAUUAGAUACCCUGGUAGUCCACGCCGUAAACGAUGGUCACUAGCUGUUUGGACUUCGGUCUGAGUGGCUAAGCGAAAGUGAUAAGUGACCCACCUGGGGAGUACGUUCGCAAGAAUGAAACUCAAAGGAAUUGACGGGGGCCGCACAAGCGUGGAGCAUGUGGUUUAAUUCGAUGAUACGCGAGGAACCUUACCAGGGUUUAAAUGUAAGUUGCAUAAGCUAGAGAUAGCUUUUUCUUCGGACUACUUA
rnacentral:rRNA from 1 species